rnacentral:rRNA from 1 species
GCUUUUAAUUGAAGUCUGGAAUGAAAGGUAAAUACUGAAAAGAAAGUUUUAUUAAGUAAAGUUGAAUUUAAAUUAAAAGUAAAAAUGCUUUUAUAAAUUUUUGGGACGAGAAGACCCUAGAAACUUAAAAUUAUAUAAAAUUUUUGAUUGGGGCAAUCAGCUGAAGAAAAGAAUUUUUGGUUAAAAUUUUGUAUUUAAAUCUUAUGAAGUUACUCUAGGGAUAACAGCAUUAUUUAAUUAGCAAGUUCUUAUUAAUAAUUAAGAUUGUGACCUCGAUGUUGAAUUAAUUUUGAUUUUUGGUGAAGAAGCUAGAAACUUUUAGUCUGUUCGACUAUUAAAAUUUUACAUGAUUUGAGUUCAAACCGGUGUAAGCCAGGUCGGUUCUUAUC